CGGACUGCUUGCCUCCCAGC
rnacentral:misc_RNA from 1 species